rnacentral:misc_RNA from 1 species
GUAGAAGGCAGGGUAAAUG